UACGUAGGGGGCAAGCGUUGUCCGGAUUUAUUGGGCGUAAAGAGCGUGUAGGCGGUCUGUUGCGUCGGCUGUGAAAACCCGGGGCUCAACCCCGGGCCUGCAGCCGAUACGAGCAGACUAGAGUUCGGCAGGGGAGACUGGAAUUCCUGGUGUAGCGGUGAAAUGCGCAGAUAUCAGGAGGAACACCGGUGGCGAAGGCGGCAUCCUGGACCGAUACUGACGCUGAGGAGCGAAAGCCAGGGGAGCAAACGGG
rnacentral:rRNA from 1 species